rnacentral:rRNA from 1 species
UACGAAGGGGGCUAGCGUUGUUCGGAAUUACUGGGCGUAAAGCGCACGUAGGCGGAUCGAUCAGUCAGGGGUGAAAUCCCAGAGCUCAACUCUGGAACUGCCUUUGAUACUGUCGAUCUAGAGUAUGGAAGAGGUGAGUGGAAUUCCGAGUGUAGAGGUGAAAUUCGUAGAUAUUCGGAGGAACACCAGUGGCGAAGGCGACACGCUGGGCCGUACCUGACACUGAUGCGCGACAGCAUGGGGAGCAAACAGG